UCUGAAGAAUAAAAUAAUCCAAAAAGGGAAAAUAACAAAUUUUUCAACUUCCUAUGUUGACAUGUGUCCAAAUCCCUUGACAGGUGAAAAAAAAAAAAAAANNNNNNNNNNNNNNNNNNCCAAAGUUUUGAAUUUCAGCCUAAACGAUAGGAGAGAUAAAUGGAAAAGAAAGAUAUCCAUUAAUACUUUCAAAAACGCCACUUCCUCUUUCGAUAGACAUAGUCGAAAAUGACAUUUUUGGGGGGCAAUUUGUUGGACAUAAAUUUGGUAUUUAUCAAUUAAAUAUAAUUGGUGGGUCAAACAUUUAUUUUUGGAGGUUAUAUUGUCAAAAUAAAACUUUCAAAGGUGGUGUCGAGGUCUAACUAUGUCGAAGCAAAAGAGCGUUUCGAAA
rnacentral:lncRNA from 1 species